CAGCAGCCGCGGUAAUACGAAGGGGGCUAGCGUUGCUCGGAAUGACUGGGCGUAAAGGGCGCGUAGGCGGAUUGUUUAGUUAGGCGUGAAAUUCCUGGGCUUAACCUGGGGACUGCGCUUAAUACAGGCAGUCUAGAGUGAGGAAGAGGGUUGUGGAAUUCCCAGUGUAGAGGUGAAAUUCGUAGAUAUUGGGAAGAACACCGGUGGCGAAGGCGGCAACCUGGUCCUUGACUGACGCUGAGGCGCGAAAGCGUGGGGAGCAAACAGGAUUAGAUACCCGUGUAGUCCCUGUCUCUUAUAC
rnacentral:rRNA from 1 species